CCUACGGGGGGCUGCAGUGGGGAAUAUUGGACAAUGGGGGGAACCCUGAUCCAGCCAUGCCGCGUGUGUGAAGAAGGCCCUCGGGUUGUAAAGCACUUUCAGUGAGGAAGAACGCCUGGUGGUUAAUACCCAUCAGGAAAGACAUCACUCACAGAAGAAGCACCGGCUAACUCCGUGCCAGCAGCCGCGGUAAUACGGAGGGUGCGAGCGUUAAUCGGAAUUACUGGGCGUAAAGCGCGCGUAGGUGGCUUGAUAAGCCGGUUGUGAAAGCCCCGGGCUCAACCUGGGAACGGCAUCCGGAACUGUCAAGCUAGAGUGCAGGAGAGGAAGGUAGAAUUCCCGGUGUAGCGGUGAAAUGCGUAGAGAUCGGGAGGAAUACCAGUGGUGAAGGCGGCCUUCUGGACUGACACUGACACUGAGGUGCGAAAGCGUGGGUAGCAAACAGGAUUAGAUACCCGAGUAGUC
rnacentral:rRNA from 1 species